AGGGAUUGGGGGGUGGGAGGGAGAGGGGAACUGCAGUGCCAGGAAAACAAUCCAUUUUCCUGGCACUGCAGUUCCCCUCUCCCUCCCACCCCCCAAUCCCUGGUUGCUGAAG